rnacentral:rRNA from 1 species
GGACUACUGGGGUAUCUAAUCCUGUUUGCUCCCCACGCUUUCGCGCCUCAGUGUCAGUUACAGACCAGGAAGCCGCCUUCGCCACUGGUGUUCCUCCAUAUCUCUACGCAUUUCACCGCUACACAUGGAAUUCCACUUCCCUCUUCUGCACUCAAGUUGACCAGUUUCCAAUGACCCUCCACGGUUAAGCCGUGGGCUUUCACAUCAGACUUAAUCAACCACCUGCGCGCUCUUUACGCCCAAUAAUUCCGGAUAACGCUUGCCACCUACGUAUUACCGCGGCUGCUGGCAC